rnacentral:rRNA from 1 species
CCCAAGAGACUGGGAUAACACCUAGGAAACAGAUGCUAAUACCGGAUAACAACACUAGACGCAUNGUCUAGAGUUUAAAAGAUGGUUCUGCUAUCACUCUUGGAUGGACCUGCGGUGCAUUAGCUAGUUGGUAAGGUAACGGCUUACCAAGGCAAUGAUGCAUAGCCGAGUUGAGAGACUGAUCGGCCACAUUGGGACUGAGACACGGCCCAAACUCCUACGGGAGGCAGCAGAA